GUAUCAAACCUUAGAAAGUUUGGUUGACAUCAGAGAAAUGCUUGUGUGGCUAUGUUGGGGUAUAGGGCAUCAACAGAAAUUAUAGAGAUAGGCAGAUUUCUGUUAACCACAUGUUCACAUGCCAACCUUUUUUGUAGGAUGAGGAGAGGAAGAAAAGAGAGGCUUUAGAGCAAAUAAUGGAAGAAAACAACCGCAAGAUAGAGGAAGCACAGAAAAAACUGGCUGAAGAGCAGUUGAAGUUAGUUGAGGAACAGAGACGUAUGUUAGAGGAAAAACAACGAAUGGAGGAUGAUGAUAAACGACGUAAAAAACGGGAACAGGAGGUAAUACUCAAUAAGAAGAAUGCUCGUCCUAAAGUAUCAUUCUCUCUGGGAAAGUGAUGUGUGUUGUGCUGAUAGGAUCAAAUUCAAUAUAGUGUUGUGCAAUUGAGGCAUAAAGCCUCUGGAAGUUUGGACUGAAAAUCUAAGUUCUGGAGGUCUUCUAGGCAAUGCUCAAGGAUCCUUUGCAGUUUGUGGCAAUCUGCAGCUGUAAAAAUUCGCGUGAGAUAUAUCCAGUCAGUUUCAGCAGUUGGAGUUUGAAGUUUGCUUCACAAGUUCAGCUCGAUUCCAGGAAUGCAUCAAAUUCUCAACAGUGGAUGGAAGGAAUGUUUGUGUGUGUUGGGAGAAUGAAGUGUGCAGAAUGUGUGUUUGAGUAUGUGUUUGAGAGAAAUAGUGCUAGAGUAUAUGGUGUACAAAAGUGUGUGUAAAGAAUGAUUUAAUUGGGACAGCAUGUAUAAUAUUAAUUGCAAAUGUAAAAAAAAAAAAUUCCCUUGUGUAAACUGAAAAAUGACUGCAUGUGACAUUGCAUUUUGUAAUAUUUAUAUUGUCAAAAUAGAUAUUUUAAGAAAAUAUUCCUUUGACAUUUUAUAAAAGAAGACCUUCUUGAAAAUGUGGCUUUCUAUAUUCUUUGUGAUGUGUACAAUGCAGAGCAUAUAUGCAUUUCUGCAUUGUACUUAGCUGGCAGCAGGUAUGCUGUAAAUCGAUCAAUAGACAAAAUUCUCAAUGUUGCAAGAUGCAAGAGAGUGUAUCAGAUAAGCUGUUCACAUGGCUGGCAGCAUUUAUCGCUGUCUAGAUGAUUUGAGAGGAAUGUUGUCUUGGUGAAUCAGUGGAGUGCAUACCAGUAUCUAAGCAAUGCACAUAGCUGGCAGACUGACAGCAUUUGUCACUGAAAGUGAGUUUUAGCUGUACCUGUGUAGGCAUGGUGAAUCGUUAUGAAGUCCCUGCAUGUUGCUGGGAGUGUUGUUCUGGAAUUAAUUCAGAGGAAAGUUGUCUCAAUGUAGCAGCGGAGAGAGUGUCUGGUUAGAAAUAACCUUUGCUAAAAGCAAUUAUCACAGACUGUGCAGCAUGGUAAGUUAAGUGAAUGGUAUGUUGUCGUUACCCAGAUACGGAGAUAGGGCAUCAGUUUAUAUUAUAUACGGUGUUGGAUUGUUUAGCUCAAGGUGCUGUGAAACUUGUUUUGUUUGCUCCCUUCAGUAUUGGGAUGAACAUUUCCUGUGCAGAGUGGAGGCUGUGCUAGCUGUAAUCUGCUAUACGUUAGUGAAGGCGUGUUGUCGUUCUAGCUUAUAAUUAUAGAAGUACAUCCUUCAUUCAGUACAGGAAAUUUUUGUGUGUAAAUUGAAGGGUCCAAAUGGAAAAGUCAGGGAAAAUUCUAAAUGGGCUUUAAUUUACAGUACAUUGGGCUAACAUUUUGAAUGUUUAAGUCAUGAAUGUGUGUUCUGAAUAUUAAUUAUUAUUGCAAAAGCAUUCAUGUUCGUGACAGAACAUUUUGUACAUUAUGAUUGAUUAUAAAUAACUUGUGCCAAGGAAUUGGAUUUUCAUAGAGGUGUUCAUGGCAAGUGUUUGCUUUUGGAAUGACAUUUGGAAAAAUGCCGUCAUUGUUACAAUUUUGUGUACAUUUAAAAAUGUCUUGUUGUCAGUUAUUUCAUUUUCAACGAAGAUGCGUACAUGUUUAGUAUUG